rnacentral:piRNA from 1 species
UGACAGUUUGAAGGAUAGCUGCUUCUUCUG